GAUGAACGCUGGCGGCGUGCCUAAUACAUGCAAGUCGAGCGAACAGACGAGGAGCUUGCUCCUCUGACGUUAGCGGCGGACGGGUGAGUAACACGUGGAUAACCUACCCAUAAGACUGGGAUAACUUCGGGAAACCGGAGCUAAUACCGGAUAAUAUAUUGAACCGCAUGGUUCAAUAGUGAAAGACGGUUUUGCUGUCACUUAUAGAUGGAUCCGCGCCGCAUUAGCUAGUUGGUAAGGUAACGGCUUACCAAGGCAACGAUGCGUAGCCGACCUGAGAGGGUGAUCGGCCACACUGGAACUGAGACACGGUCCAGACUCCUACGGGAGGCAGCAGUAGGGAAUCUUCCGCAAUGGGCGAAAGCUUGACGGAGCAACGCCGCGUGAGUGAUGAAGGUCUUCGGAUCGUAAAACUCUGUUAUUAGGGAAGAACAAAUGUGUAAGUAACUAUGCACGUCUUGACGGUACCUAAUCAGAAAGCCACGGCUAACUACGU
rnacentral:rRNA from 1 species